rnacentral:lncRNA from 1 species
CACUUGGGAGACUGAGACAAGAGGGUUCUGUGAGCUCAGGAUUUUGAGGUAACAGUGAGCUAUGAUUGCAUCACUGCACUACAGCCUGGGUGACAGAGACCCUGUCUCAAAAAAAAAGAAAAAAAAAAAAAGGAUUUACUCAGUUUCAAUCAAAAUGAGGAACUGCUAUCAGAUCUAAGGUUGAGCCAUUUUGAUAGAUAAACACACAUCAUAGGCAAAUAUUAGUACAAUGUUUUCCUUCAUAUUUUUCAACUGGAAUAGAUAGGGAGAAGUCUGAAUUUUUCACAUCCAGAGGUCACAGAUUACAGUUUAAAAUUUAGCCUGGGAUUUUCAGCCUGACAGAUUUAAGUCCUGGCUUAUUCACUUAUUUAUAUAGAGAAGAUAACAAUACUUACCUCAGACAUAGCUCUAACUGUCUCAGAAAACAACUGUGGUCUUCUAUGCUCUUUUCAGGAGAUGAUCUUGGCAGAUUAGAAAUAUCUGGAAUAUAAGAUUUUGAUUAAUGAAGCCGCAUUCAAGGUCCAAUUCCAGAAGAACCUACAUGCUGAAGAAGCUGAAAAAGAUUUUCAUGUGCUCUGACUGGGGACUCAGUGUGUAUCUGACUUCCCUGAACUAUCUACAUCUUCAUGAGAUCCUUUUCUAGAUAAUUUUAGAGCUUGAAAUAACAAUCCUCCUUCUCUAAGUGACGGUGGAUGGAAGAAAUAGACAGGAAAAGCGGUAUGUUAGUAAAGGUAACGGUUUCAUUUAUCUAAUUUCACCAGAAGCAUAUGAGUAGUACGUAUGUAAUGAACAACUAAAAAAUUGAAAUGAUUUGGUGGAAAUAUAGCUGUAACUUCCUACUUUAAGUGAUUUACCUUCCAAUCUUGGCUAGGACAACAGAAGAUAUGGUUUUUAAAUAAAGCUUUUCCUUGAUGUAAACAUAGAAGAGUUAUUGAAUACUUUGAGUUGCUCUGUUUUACCAGUGAUCAUUAGGUUACCUAGUGUAAAUUCCCUGGUUCAGAGGCAUAGAAAUUGAGACUUUGCAAGCAGAACGAUUUGCCACCAUGAGCAGCAUUGCCCCAGGUCUAGAAGGCACAUCUCUGGAUGAAGAGUUCCUUUCUCACUAUGACUUUGAGUCUCCCAAAAGCUAAUGAAAUCCAAAGUCUUCUUUGGUCUGGAACAGUUUUAGUUCUGCAUUGCUGUUUCAUCUGACAUGCA